UUUAAAUAAACAUUUGUACCGUAGACAGCAGGGGCAAACAUUGCUUAAUAAGCCUGCCGAGGUAGUGCGAUAGAUAGCUAUGACUAUUAUUUUGCCUCCAUGUCUCGGUAGAUAUGGAGGCUUUUUAUUGCUCGG
rfam:Bacillus sp. X1(2014), complete genome.